rnacentral:misc_RNA from 1 species
GAAAAAAUACAGUCAACUGUC